rnacentral:rRNA from 1 species
CUUCUGCCCAAUGAAUUUUUAAUGGCCGCAGUACCUUGACUGUGCUAAGGUAGCAUAAUAAAUUGGCUUUUAAUUGGAGUCUAGAAUGAAUGAAGAAACGGAAAAAAGCUGUCUUUUAUUGGCUAAUAAUAAGUUAUUAAGAUGGUGAAAAUCCCACCGUGAAGAAAUAGGACGAGAAGACCCUAAGAAUUUUGAAUGAUAGCUUUAGUAAGUUUGAUUUUUUUGGCUGGGGCGGCUAAGGAUCAAUUAAAAAAACAUCCUCGUGCUUAUCUGUUACUAACAUUUUUUAUUAAUAUUACCUUAGGGAUAACAGCAUAAUUUUAUUUUUAGUUUGUGACCUCGAUGUUGGACUAGGGUUCUUAAGAUUAAAAGUCUAAAAGUUUU